rnacentral:lncRNA from 1 species
CUGUGGUGUUGCAGAGGCUGGUCUGGAACCAGACACACUGGUGGGUGUGUUGGGUCUCUGAGCAGCGCUAAGGAAUUUCGCUGGGCAGAGUCUUUACACAGAUCCCAGAAAUAGUUCAAGUCAUAAGAAUAUGCCCAGCAUCACAGAUGUUCCUCUUGGCUGCUGCGCUGAGAGAGGGAGGG